rnacentral:rRNA from 1 species
UACGUAGGUGGCAAGCGUUAUCCGGAUUUAUUGGGUGUAAAGGGCGUGUAGGCGGGAGCGCAUGUCAGAUGUGAAAACUCAGGGCUCAACCCUGAGCCUGCAUUUGAAACUGUGUUUCUUGAGUGCUGGAGAGGCAAUCGGAAUUCCGUGUGUAGCAGUGAAAUGCGUAGAUAUACGGAGGAACACCAGUGGCGAAGGCGGAUUGCUGGACAGUAACUGACGCUGAGGCGCGAAAGCGUGGGGAGCAAACAGG